rnacentral:rRNA from 2 species
CUAACGUGGACCCGUAAUCCGGGUUGCGGACAGUGUCUGGUGGGUAGUUUGACUGGGGCGGUCUCCUCCUAAAGAGUAACGGAGGAGCACGAAGGUUGGCUAAUCCUGGUCGGACAUCAGGAGGUUAGUGCAAUGGCAUAAGCCAGCUUGACUGCGAGCGUGACGGCGCGAGCAGGUGCGAAAGCAGGUCAUAGUGAUCCGGUGGUUCUGAAUGGAAGGGCCAUCGCUCAACGGAUAAAAGGUACUCCGGGGAUAACAGGCUGAUACCGCCCAAGAGUUCAUAUCGACGGCGGUGUUUGGCACCUCGAUGUCGGCUCAUCACAUCCUGGGGCUGAAGUAGGUCCCAAGGGUAUGGCUGUUCGCCAUUUAAAGUGGUACGCGAGCUGGGUUUAGAACGUCGUGAGACAGUUCGGUCCCUAUCUGCCGUGGGCGCUGGAGAACUGAGGGGGGCUGCUCCUAGUACGAGAGGACCGGAGUGGACGCAUCACUGGUGUUCGGGUUGUCAUGCCAAUGGCACUGCCCGGUAGCUAAAUGCGGAAGAGAUAAGUGCUGAAAGCAUCUAAGCACGAAACUUGCCCCGAGAUGAGUUCUCCCUGAGACUUAGAGUCUCCUGAAGGAACGUUGAAGACGACGACGUUGAUAGGCCGGGUGUGUAAGCGCAGCGAUGCGUUGAGCUAACCGGUACUAAUGAACCGUGAGGCUUAACCUU